AUUGAACGCUGGCGGCAGGCCUAACACAUGCAAGUCGAACGAGUGGCGGACGGGUGAGUAAUGUCUGGGAACCUGCCUGAUGGAGGGGGAUAACUAAUGGAAACGGUAGCUAAUACCGCAUCCCAGCAGAUGUGCCCAGAUGGGAUUAGCUUGUUGGUGGGGUAAAGGCUAACAAAGGCGACGAUCCCUAGCUGGUCGGCGAGGAUGACCAGCCACACGGGAACUGAGACACGGGCCAGACUCGUACGGUAGGCAGCAGUGGGGAAUAUUGCACAAUGGGCGCAAGCCUGAUGCAGCCAGGCCGCGUGUAUGAAGAAGGCCUUCGGGUUGGAAAGUACUUGCAGCGGGGAGGCGUUACCCGCAGAAGAAGCACCGGCUAACUCCGUGCCAGCAGCCGCGGUAAUUC
rnacentral:rRNA from 1 species